rnacentral:lncRNA from 1 species
CUUUUCGAGGUAGGAGUCGACUCCUGUGAGGUAUGGUGCUGGGUGCAGAUGCAGUGUGGCUCUGGAUAGCACCUUAUGGACAGUUGUGUCCCCAAGGAAGGAUGAGAAUAGCUACUGAAUUGUUUCUUCCCAGGUCCUAAAGAGCAAGCCUAACUCAAGCCAUUGGCACACAGGCAUUAGACAGAAAGCUGGAAGUUGAAAUGGUGGAGUCCAACUUGCCUGGACCAGCUUAAUGGUUCUGCUCCUGGUAACGUUUUUAUCCAUGGAUGACUUGCUUGGGUAUGGAGAGUCGGCUUGACUACACUGUGUGGAGCAAGUUUUAAAGAAGCAAAGGACUCAGAAUUCAUGAUUGAAGAAAUGCAGGCAGACCUGUUAUCCUAAACUAGGGUUUUUAAUGACCACAACAAGCAAGCAUGCAGCUUACUGCUUGAAAGACAGGGUCUUGCCUCACCCAAGCUAGAGUGCAGUGGCCUUUGAAGCUUACUACAGCCUCAAACUUCUGGGCUCAAGUGAUCCUCAGCCUCCCAGUGGUCUUUGUAGACUGCCUGAUGGAGUCUCAUGGCACAAGAAGAUUAAAACAGUGUCUCCAAUUUUAAUAAAUUUUUGCAAUCCA